UGCCUAACCCCUAUAAGAAAUUAUAGGGUAUGGCAUAAAAACCAAUCACGUACAAAGAACCCAUAGUCUAGGUUCACCGUGAUUGGUCGUGCAUCGAAAGGUGUACGGAUUUCUCGAAAGAGAGAUC
rnacentral:sRNA from 1 species